ACUAGUCCACCAUCCUUCAAGAUCGAGGUCUGGACCAAUACUCAGAGUAUUCGACUCACCCUCAAAAAAAGAGAGUCCCUCAUUAUCACUAAAAAUCUUGACCACCUUGUGACUUGGUACUAGAAGGAUCGGACGAAA
rnacentral:pre_miRNA from 1 species